rnacentral:rRNA from 1 species
AGUGAACGCUGGCGGUAGGCCUAACACAUGCAAGUCGAACGGCAGCACAGUAAGAGCUUGCUCUUACGGGUGGCGAGUGGCGGACGGGUGAGGAAUACAUCGGAAUCUACUUUUUCGGGGGGGAUAACGGAGGGAAACUUACGCUAAUACCGCAUACGACCUACGGGUGAAAGCAGGGGAUCUUCGGACCUUGCGCGAUUGAAUGAGCCGAUGUCGGAUUAGCUAGUUGGCGGGGUAAAGGCCCACCAAGGCGACGAUCCGUAGCUGGUCUGAGAGGAUGAUCAGCCACACUGGAACUGAGACACGGUCCAGACUCCUACGGGAGGCAGCAGUGGGGAAUAUUGGACAAUGGGCGCAAGCCUGAUCCAGCCAUACCGCGUGGGUGAAGAAGGCCUUCGGGUUGUAAAGCCCUUUUGUUGGGAAAGAAAAGCAGCAGGUUAAUACCCCGCUGUUUUGACGGUACCCAAAGAAUAAGCACCGGCUAACUUCGUG